rnacentral:rRNA from 1 species
GUGGGGAAUAUUGGACAAUGGGCGAAAGCCUGAUCCAGCCAUGCCGCGUGUGUGAAGAAGGUCUUCGGAUUGUAAAGCACUUUAAGUUGGGAGGAAGGGCAGUAAGCUAAUACCUUGCUGUUUUGACGUUACCGACAGAAUAAGCACCGGCUAACUUCGUGCCAGCAGCCGCGGUAAUACGAAGGGUGCAAGCGUUAAUCGGAAUUACUGGGCGUAAAGCGCGCGUAGGUGGUGUUGUAAGUUGGAGGUGAAAUCCCCGGGCUCAACCUGGGAACUGCCUCCAAAACUGCAUGACUAGAGUACGGUAGAGGGUAGUGGAAUUUCCUGUGUAGCGGUGAAAUGCGUAGAUAUAGGAAGGAACACCAGUGGCGAAGGCGACUACCUGGACUGAUACUGACACUGAGGUGCGAAAGCGUGGGGAGCAAACAGGAUUAGAAACCCGAGUAGUCC